AUGCAAGUCGAGGGGUAACGGAAGUAGCUUGCUACUAGACGACGACCGGCGCACGGGUGAGUAACGCGUAUGUAAUCUGCCUUGUACAGAGGGAUAGCCCAGAGAAAUUUGGAUUAAUACCUCAUAGUAUUACUGGAUCGCAUGAUUUGGUAAUUAAAGCUCCGGCGGUACAAGAUGAACAUGCGUGACAUUAGCUAGUUGGUAAGGUAACGGCUUACCAAGGCUACGAUGUCUAGGGGUUCUGAGAGGAUGAUCCCCCACACUGGUACUGAGACACGGACCAGACUCCUACGGGAGGCAGCAGUGAGGAAUAUUGGUCAAUGGACGCAAGUCUGAACCAGCCAUCCCGCGUGAAGGAUGACUGCCCUAUGGGUUGUAAACUUCUUUUAUAUGCAAAUAAACCUACUUUCGUGAAAGUAGCUGAAGGUAGCAUAUGAAUAAACACCGGCUAACUCCGUGCCAGCAGCCGCGGUAAUACGGAGGGUGUAAGCGUUAUCCGGAUUUAUUGCGUUUAAAGGGUACG
rnacentral:rRNA from 1 species